rnacentral:lncRNA from 1 species
UCCCUUGUAGCCGCAUAAGUGUCCGACCUCUACAGGUAUCCAUACGAGACUCUGAUCUGAUCAAAAGUCUUAUUAUCUCAUCGGGGUGCUAGCUCCCUUGCAAAGAUUGUAUUUUCAUGGUUGAAAUUUUUUUUUUUUUCUUAAGACACUCUUAGAGAAUAAGAAGAUGUAGAAGGAUCUUGAUCUCUAUACUAGAGAUCAUGAGAAGAAUCUGUUCUUCUCUUUUCUUCCUAAAAUUUAUGCACCAAAUCUCUACAAUA